rnacentral:rRNA from 1 species
UACGUAGGGUGCGAGCGUUGUCCGGAAUUACUGGGCGUAAAGAGCUCGUAGGUGGUUUGUCGCGUUGUUCGUGAAAACUCACAGCUUAACUGUGGGCGUGCGGGCGAUACGGGCAGACUGGAGUACUGCAGGGGAGACUGGAAUUCCUGGUGUAGCGGUGGAAGUGCGCAGAUAUCAGGAGGAACACCGGUGGCGAAGGCGGGUCUCUGGACAGGUACUGACGCUGAGACGCGAAAGCAUGGGUAGCAAACAGG